GGGGAGUUAGCUCAGUUGGUUAGAGCACCAGCUUGACAUGCUGGGGGUCAUGGGUUCGAGUCCCGUACUUCCCACCA
rnacentral:tRNA from 1 species